rnacentral:lncRNA from 1 species
CAGCUUUCUGUCCUCGCCCAUGUUCGGCUGGGAAGGGGCGCUGAGCUGGACGGGGAGCUUCAGCGUAAAACGACCGGCCUUGCCGCCGCGGAAACCAACCUUGCCGCCGCGGAAGCCGACCUUGCUGCUGCGAAGGUCACCAUUGAGGCCGUGAAGACCGAGUUGGACGCCGUCAAGCGCGAGCGUGACCGUCUGGCUGACGACUUGCGCCGUUCUGCGGAGGAAGAGAAAGCUCGGGCAGACGCCGCGCAGGCCUCUUUUAUCGAGGAGUUUAUUCCCGACUUCAAGAAUCGCUUGGCCGGUAUGCAAGCGGAUCACGCCGUACUGCUAGCCGACUCGAAGCGUCUCGGCUUCUGGAAGGGUUACGUGCACGGGCGCAAGAUGUGUUCGCUUGUUUACCCGCCCCUUUCGCGCGCCGUGGUGCCUCGGAGCUGCAAAGAGUUUGCCGAUUGGGAAGAGAACGGCGCCCCUUCCUUUCAACCUCCCGUGGACGUGAGCGAUAGCGAGGAGAAGGACCUCGAGGCUGACUUCCCCGACUACGUGGACCCUCCCCUUGACUAGUCGGCCCGUAGCGUGUGUUUUUUUUUUUUUUCGUACGGGAGGAACAAUACUUAACUUUUUCCUGCAUUGUAAUAAUACUUAACUUUUUCCUGCUCUUUUACUUACUUGUUUUCUCUCGCUUUUUGUUCGGCCGUCGAUCCGUCUGCCUUCUCCUUACGCUUUCGUUUCCCUGCUUAUCCGUCGCUUUCGCCCCCUUUCUUCCUUCAACCGUUUUUUUCCUUAGAG